rnacentral:rRNA from 1 species
CAGUAGCCGCGGGAAUACGGAGGGAGCUAGCGUUGUUCGGAAUUACUGGGCGUAAAGCGCACGUAGGCGGCUUUGUAAGUUAGAGGUGAAAGCCUGGAGCUCAACUCCAGAACUGCCUUUAAGACUGCAUCGCUUGAAUCCAGGAGAGGUGAGUGGAAUUCCGAGUGUAGAGGUGAAAUUCGUAGAUAUUCGGAAAGAACACCAACGGCGAAAGCACUCUGCUGGGCCGACACUGACACUGAGAGACGAAAGCUAGGGGAGCAAAUGGGAUUAGAUACCCCCGUAGUCCCUGUCUCUUAUA